UUCCGGUUGAUCCUGCCGGACCCCACUGCUAUCGGGAUAGGACUAAGACAUGCUAGUUGAGCGCUUCAGCCAAAACGAGGCGCAGCAUACAGCUCAGUAGCACGUGGCUAAUCUGCCCUUAGGAUAGGAACAACCCCGGGAAACUGGGGCUAAUUCCCAAUAGGCGAAGAACUCUGGAAUGAGUCUUCACCCCAAAAGAACCCACGUUACGCUCGUGGGCCUCGCCUAAGGAUGAGGCCGCGGCCGAUCAGGUUGUUGGUGAGGUAAUGGCUCACCAAGCCUUUUACCGGUGCGGGCCGUGAGAGCGGGAGCCCGGAGAUGGGUACUGAGACAAGGACCCAGGCCCUACGGGGCGCAGCAGUCGCGAAAACUUUGCAAUACACGCAAGUGUGACAGGGCUAUCCCGAGUGCCAUCCGCUGAGGAAGGCUUUUACCCAGUCUAGAAAGCUGGGGGAAUAAGGAGAGGGCAAGUCUGGUGUCAGCCGCCGCGGUAAUACCAGCCCUCCGAGUGGUGUGGAUGUUUAUUGGGCCUAAAGCAUCCGUAGCUGGCUAAGUAAGUCCCCUGUUAAAACCAACGAAUUAAUCGUUGGAUCGCGGGGGAUACUGCUUGGCUAGGGGACGAGAGAGGCAGACGGUAUUUCCGGGGUAGGGGCGAAAUCCUAUAAUCCCGGGAAGACCACCAGUGGCGAAGGCUGUCUGCUAGAACGCGCCCGACGGUGAGGGAUGAAAGCUGGGGGAGCGAACCGGAUUAGAUACCCGGGUAGUCCCAGCUGUAAACGAUGCAGGCUAGGUGUUUGGACGGCCACGUGCCGUUCUAGUGCCGCAGGGAAGCUGUUAAGCCUGCCGCCUGGGGAGUACGAUCGCAAGAUUGAAACUUAAAGGAAUUGGCGGGGGAGCACCACAAGGGGUGAAGCUUGCGGUUUAAUUGGAUUCAACGCCGGA
rnacentral:rRNA from 1 species